CUAAGGGGAGAAGGCAGCAGGCAUUGUUGUCGAUUCGCAACAACAGCAGGAGGAAACCAUAAAUUUCUCUUGUUAUCAAACAUAAGAAAGGCAAGAAGGUUUGGCAUGGAUGACCAACCACCACCGGGGUUCUCACACCCCUCCCGAUCCUCCAACCUUCCCACUUCACAAACCACCACCUCCACCCCACCCAACUUAGCUAACCUACCUCCAUGGUUACUAAGAUCAAUCCUACCCUGCCCCACACCUCUUAGAACCAUUAGACCUAUCCAACAAGCCCUACCCUUAACCCAAACAACCCCUCUACCCACUGUUUUGAAACAACCAGCCACCACAACCAUUGCUCUUCCUACCCAAACAGUCCCUACACCUACUGUUUCAACUCAACCAGCCUCUCUACCUACUGUCUUAAACCAAACAACCCCCACCUCUACUGUAAUGCCUACCUAAACAGCCCCUUCUCAAACUACAGCACCACCCCCUUCUAUUCCCAUUAGAUCAAAACCAAAAGCUUGUCGUCCAGUCACUAGAUCAACUGAGCGUCAUGUCACUAAGACUAUGACUAAAGAAGAAGGAGAUACCAUUGAUGUAGAGACCUAUGUUCCCAAAGGUCUACCUAAACCAAAACCAAGGAGAGCAAGGGCCAAAAAGAUGAAGAUCAAGGAUGAAAUCAAGGAUGAUGCCCAACAUUCCGGAGUACCACCUACAGUGGAUCCAACCUCUCAAGGUAUCGGGAAGACAGAGAGCAAUGAGUUCGACACAUGCCACAACAAUCCCAUUGUGAGUCUUUCUGACUCUCCUUUCCCUGAGCACACAUACACCAUUGGUGCCCAAAGUGAUCACACCAUCAAAAGUGAUCCUGUUGAGCAUCAUGAGAGUCAGAAAAUGCUUUGUGAGGAUUCUAUGUUUAACAUUGAUCUUAAUUCCUAUUUUAUGGAAGAAGAUGACCCAACUCCCUUACUUGAGUGGCCAGAUUCCACCACUUCUUCAGAUGUUAUCACUCUUAUGGAUACACACACAUCACACCACCAGUUCAAUGAUUCUCCCAUGGUUGAUUUGGGGAUGGUUGACUUGACUUCCCAGCACUACACUCCCCCACCCAUCUCCAUUGCAUUUGAUAGGUUUAACAACCCAUUUUCUGCACUACCCCCUUUCCCCAUUUAUAUCCCUACUUCCUACAUGAUCUUUGAUGCACACAAUGUCAUUAUGCCCAUGCCACCCAUCACUAGCUCAUACACCACACCACUUGUGAGCACUACUCAUGUGCCAUCCCAGACUUUCAGCCCACUCCCAUUCCUUCUCCUGAAAUGACUGGGCAAAAGUCCAAUGAGGAUAGCAAUCGCACUUCUAGUGACUCUUACUUAGUCCCUAUUGAGAGAUUCUCCAAAAGGAGAAGGGUUGAGUCUGAAGACUCUGAAUGGACUCCUGAUGAGGAUAUCCCAUUGUCCUAACUUAGGAGAUCCAUGAGGCAGCAUGUAGCACCAAGCCCGCCCAAAAAGAGUACCUGCACUAGACGAUUGGACAGCCAUAGUGAGAGUAGCCGGAAGCCUAGGAAUUUUCAAAAAUUCAAGACUUUUUGGGAUUAGGAGAGAGAGAGUUUGAUAAGAGUUUUCCUGAGACCUACACAUUCAUCAGUGACAUUGUUAUUCAAAGGGGUUGGGAGGCUUUCACUGCUGUGAGAGAGCCUUACUUCCUUAAAUGGGUCCAAGAGUUAUAUGCCUUAGUUUCCUCUAUCCGCACUACCUCGGUUCAUAUUCGAGGUAAAAAGAUCUCUUACUCUGUGCAUGCUAUCAAUAAUUUCUAUGAUUUGAUUGUACCUCCAGUUUGUGAGUAUCGCAAGUUGUUACAUGAUCACACUGACGAAGAUUUGAAGAUGGUACUUAGUGUCAUGGCCGAAGAAGGAGCCACUUAGAAGUCACCCCAAAAGCGCAGUCCACUUAAAUUCCAAACCAAUCUUUUGAAAAAGAAUGCGGCUGUUUGGAAUCACUUUCUGAGAUACUCUUUCAACCAAACCACACACGACUCAAGCACCUCAUUAGACUGCAUGCUCUUACUUUAUUGUAUUCUUGCAGGAAAGUGUGAUAACUGGAUCUUGGUUAUCACCUGAAGGAAGUGCCGAUGGUAAGGGGAAGGGAAAAAUAUAAUAUUUCUCUAUGUGAUUAUCUGCGUGAAGAUUUACUGUUGGUAUGUAUAGUUUUUGUUAGAUAAUCUGGUUUAGUACAAGAUUUGUAUUUGGAAUUUUUGAACCAUGUAUUUUGUA